AGUGAACGCUGGCGGUAGGCCUAACACAUGCAAGUCGAACGGCAGCACAGUAAGAGCUUGCUCUUACGGGUGGCGAGUGGCGGACGGGUGAGGAAUACAUCGGAAUCUACUUUUUCGUGGGUGAUAACGUAGGGAAAGUUACGCUAAUACAGCAUACGACCUACGGAUGACAGCAGGGGAUCUUCGGACCUUGCGCGAGUGAAUGAGCCGAUGUCGGAUUAUCUAGUUGGCGGGGUAAAGGCGUACCAAGGCGAAGAUCCGUAGCUCGUCUGAGAGGAAGAUCAGCUACACUGGCACUGAGACACGGUCGAGACUCCUACGGUAGGCAGCAGUGCGGAAUAUUGGACAAUGGGCGCAAGCCUGAUCCAGCCAUACCGCGUGGGUGAAGAAGGCCUUCGGGUUGGAAAGCCCUUUUGUUGGGAAAGAAAAGCAGCUGUUUAAUACCCCGCUGUUCUGACGGUACCCAAAGAAGAAGCCCCGGCUAACUUCGUG
rnacentral:rRNA from 1 species